AUUGAACGCUGGCGGCAGGCCUAACACAUGCAAGUCGAGCGGAUGAAGGGAGCUUGCUCCUGGAUUCAGCUGCGGACGGGUGAGUAAUGCCUAGGAAUCUGCCUGGUCUUGGGGGAUAACGUCCGGAAACGGGCGCUAAUACCGCAUACGUCCUGAUGGAGAAAGUGGGGGAUCUUCGGACCUCACGCUAUCAGAUGAGCCUAGGUCGGAUUAGCUAGUUGGUUGGGUAAAGGCCUACCAAGGCGACGAUCCGUAACUGGUCUGAGAGGAUGAUCAGUCACACUGGAACUGAGACACGGUCCAGACUCCUACGGGAGGCAGCAGUGGGGAAUAUUGGACAAUGGGCGAAAGCCUGAUCCAGCCAUGCCGCGUGUGUGAAGAAGGUCUUCGGAUUGUAAAGCACUUUAAGUUGGGAGGAAGGGAAGUAAGUGAAUACCUUGCUGUUUUGACGUUACCAACAGAAUAAGCACCGGCUAACUUCGUG
rnacentral:rRNA from 1 species